rnacentral:piRNA from 1 species
UAGGAAUGGUGGAUCUUUCUGACGUGCUGU